GACGAACGCUGGCGGCGUGCUUAACACAUGCAAGUCGAACGGAAAGGCCCUGCUUUUGUGGGGUGCUCGAGUGGCGAACGGGUGAGUAACACGUGAGUAACCUGCCCUUGACUUUGGGAUAACUUCAGGAAACUGGGGCUAAUACCGGAUAGGAGCUCCUGCUGCAUGGUGGGGGUUGGAAAGUUUCGGUGGUUGGGGAUGGACUCGCGGCUUAUCAGCUUGUUGGUGGGGUAGUGGCUUACCAAGGCUUUGACGGGUAGCCGGCCUGAGAGGGUGACCGGCCACAUUGGGACUGAGAUACGGCCCAGACUCCUACGGGAGGCAGCAGUGGGGAAUAUUGCACAGUGGGCGGAAGCCUGAUGCAGCAACGCCGCGUGCGGGAUGACGGCCUUCGGGUUGUAAACCGCUUUCGCCUGUGACGAAGCGUGAGUGACGGUAAUGGGUAAAGAAGCACCGGCUAACUACGUG
rnacentral:rRNA from 1 species